CCGUCCUUGGUGUAAUGAGCAUAGGUGCCUUCCAAGCACAAGGUUUUCUUGGCUGAAAAGGACGGU
rnacentral:tRNA from 1 species